UCCGGUUGAUCCUGCCAGAGGCCGCUGCUAUCCGGCUGGGACUAAGCCAUGCUAGUCUAGGGGCUUGUACCCCUUCGGGGGUGCAAGCACCGGCGGACGGCUCAGUAACACGUGGACAACCUGCCCUCGGGUGGGGGAUAACCCCGGGAAACUGGGGCUAAUCCCCCAUAGGUGAUGGGUGCUGGAAUGCCCCAUCUCCGAAAGCGCUCAGCGCCCGAGGAUGGGUCUGCGGCGGAUUAGGUAGUUGGUGGGGUAACGGCCCACCAAGCCUAAGAUCCGUACGGGCUGUGGGAGCAGGAGCCCGGAGAUGGACCCUGAGACAAGGGUCCAGGCCCUACGGGGCGCAGCAGGCGCGAAACCUCCGCAAUGCGGGAAACCGCGACGGGGUUAGCCGGAGUGCCCGUGCAUUGCACGGGCUGUCGGGGUGCCUAAACAGCACCCCAUAGCAAGGGCCGGGCAAGGCCGGUGGCAGCCGCCGCGGUAAGACCGGCGGCCCGAGUGGCGGCCACUCUUAUUGGGCCUAAAGCGUCCGUAGCCGGCCCAGUAAGUCCCCCGGGAAAUCUGGUCGCUUAACGAUCAGACUUCCGGGGGAUACUGCUGGGCUAGGGACCGGGAGAGGCCGAGGGUAUUCCCGGGGUAGGGGUGAAAUCCUGUAA
rnacentral:rRNA from 1 species